rnacentral:rRNA from 1 species
UACAGAGGGUGCGAGCGUUGUUCGGAAUUCCUGGGCGUAAAGCGCUGGUAGGUGGCUUGUUAAGUCGCGUGUGAAAUCUCCAGGCUCAACCUGGAAAGUGCGCGCGAAACUGGCGAGCUUGAGUGCCGGAGAGGGUCGCGGAAUUCCCAGUGUAGAGGUGAAAUUCGUAGAUAUUGGGAGGAACACCAGAGGCGAAGGCUGCGACCUGGAAGGUAACUGACACUGAGCAGCGAAAGCGUGGGGAGCAAACAGG